ACUUUUGCCAACUUUAUGCAAAUCACCAGCGGCGACCGUUGGGCGAUGACCAGUCAUAUCGAGUGGUUCCCAUGAUGAAUUUGACGCUAUGCGACCCAAGGCUGGAGACUUUCUUCGGCAAAGAUGGCUCACAAAAAUACUAGGAUAGAAGCAAAUGGACUCCUGAAACAACCGGCAAACCAGGCUGUCGUCUUGUAAAACAGUGGAUGUAAAGAAUCUAGCUAGCUAAAGCAUUUAUUGCAAAUUGAAUGUACAAUUUUGUAAGCUUGCAUUGCUGAUAUUUGCCAUGCAAUGCAGAUAGAUGAAAUAACGGAGCUAGCUAUGUUCUUUCUUAUGGUGCAGUGGAGGAUAAAAAUACCUGUAUGCCUAUGGAUGUGUAGCUAGCUAUCUAGCCGAUCUGGGUAUGGACCCAAGCAUUUGGUAUACAUAUUAGUUCAGAACUUGGCUAUGAACCUCAGCUAUCAUAGCCAGUUGUAUCAACUUCAGAGCAGUCUGAAUGACAUUAAUGAAGUCUAUGGAUUGAGUAGAAUAUAAUAUAACUUUGUGCCAACAAUGCAAGACGUAUAUACAUGUAGUUAUUACCAUGCAUGAGAUUCCCACAUUGUAGUCCGUACAUUGAAUAUAUUCACUGAUCAUGUACUCUACCUUGGCAAAUAAAGGUGCAGUUCAGG